UACGGAGGACGCGAGCGUUAUCCGGAUUCAUUGGGUUUAAAGGGUGCGCAGGCGGCUUGGCAAGUCAGCGGUGAAAGCCCGGGUCCCAACCCCGGAAGUGCCGUUGAUACUGUCAGGCUUGAAUGCGGUCGAGGUGGGCGGAACGUGGCGUGUAGCGGUGAAAUGCGUAGAUAUGCCACAGAACGCCGAUAGCGGAGGCAGCUCGCCAGGCCCGCAUUGACGCUCGGGCACGAAAGCGUGGGGAGCAAAC
rnacentral:rRNA from 1 species